GAUGAACGCUGGCGGCGUGCUUGACACAUGCAAGUCGAACGAAGAUACUUAAAAUGAGAGCUUCGGCAGGAUUUUUAUUUAUUUCAGUGGCGGACGGGUGAGUAACGUGUGGGCAACCUGCCCUAUACUGGGGAAUAAUCACUGGAAACGGUGACUAAUACCGCAUGUCAUUACGGAAGGGCAUCCUUCUGUAAGAAAAGGAGAAAUUCGGUAUAGGAUGGGCCCGCAUCUGAUUAGCUAGUUGGUGAGAUAACAGCCCACCAAGGCGACGAUCAGUAGCCGACCUGAGAGGGUGAUCGGCCACAUUGGGACUGAGACACGGCCCAAACUCCUACGGGAGGCAGCAGUGGGGAAUAUUGCACAAUGGGGGAAACCCUGAUGCAGCAACGCCGCGUGAAGGAUGAAGGUUUUCGGAUCGUAAACUUCUAUCAAUAGGGACGAAGAAAGUGACGGUACCUAAAUAAGAAGCCCCGGCUAACUACGUGCCAGCCGCCGCCGUAACAC
rnacentral:rRNA from 1 species